AGUGAACGCUGGCGGUAGGCCUAACACAUGCAAGUCGAACGGCAGCACAGUAAGAGCUUGCUCUUACGGGUGGCGAGUGGCGGACGGGUGAGGAAUACAUCGGAAUCUACUUUUUCGUGGGGGAUAACGUAGGGAAACUUACGCUAAUACCGCAUACGACCUACGGGUGAAAGCAGGGGAUCUUCGGACCUUGCUCGAUUGAAUGAGCCGCUGUCGGAUUAGCUAGUUGGCGGGGUAAAGGCCCACCAAGGCGACGACCCGUAGCUGGUCUGAGAGGAUGAUCAGCCACACUGGAACUGAGACACGGUCCAGACUCCUACGGGAGGCAGCAGUGGGGAAUAUUGGACAAUGGGCGCAAGCCUGAUCCAGCCAUACCGCGUGGGUGAAGAAGGCAUUCGGGUUGUAAAGCCCUUUUGUUGGGAAAGAAAAGCAGCAGGUUAAUACCCCGCUGUUCUGACGGUACCCAAAGAAUAAGCACCGGCUAACUUCGUG
rnacentral:rRNA from 1 species